UAUGGGAGCCUGCGGAGCUCUUGGACAGGAGAAUGUCAGGGCAAGCCUGCAGGCGUCUCCUCUAGGAGGGUGUGGUGGGAAAGAAGCCCCUAACACAAGAAAAAAUUGACGCUCUAACUGGUUUCAUCAUGCGAUACCAACAUGCCCAAGCCAUCAUCUUAGCCAUACAGAUGUGCUGGCAAAAACGGCAUGGAAGAAAAGAGCCAUGGACAGCCCUGUCUGCAAGGGAAUGUGUGCGAGUGGUGCGUGUUGGGAAAAAAAAUAAAAUAGUAAGUUUCAUU